GGGCAGGGGGCGUGGGCGGGCAUAUUGGGUAUCUCGCAUUCUCCGGAUAACUGCAAACUAUUUGAAUUUUACCUAGUUUAGUUUGUUAUGCAUUACUACAAGAAGCAACACACAUCUCUGCAACAACACCACAUGGGUAACCACAUAUAUACAUACGCCGUUGUAUAUAUCUGUAUGAAAGAAAUGAGGAAAAAUGAAAAUGAAUAGACUGGCUGGCUGGGAGCAAUAAUAUCAACAUCAGCAACCUUAACACACCUUUACACACUUGAUGUGUAGCACCAUUCCAACAACAGCAUCAUACGCAGCUAAAAAGCAUCAUUUAUACCAUACAAGGCAAAACCACAAAGCAAAACAACAAAAAAAAA